AAAGAAAAGCAUCGACGCGAGGUUCUAGCCGCCCGUACCCCAAACCGACUCAGGUGGUCAGGUAGAGAAUACCAAGGAGAUCGAGAGAAUCGUGGUUAAGGAACUCGGCAAAAUGCCCCCGUAACUUCGGGAGAAGGGGGGCCAUCCACUUAUACGGACUUGCUCCGAAAAGGGUGUGGUGGCCGCAGAGACUAGUGGGUAGCGACUGUUUACUAAAAACACAGGUCCGUGCCAAGUCGCAAGACGAUGUAUACGGACUGACGCCUGCCCGGUGCUGGAAGGUUAAGAGGACCGGUUAGCCGUAAGGCGAAGCUGAGAAUUUAAGCCCCAGUAAACGGCGGUGGUAACUAUAACCAUCCUAAGGUAGCGAAAUUCCUUGUCGGGUAAGUUCCGACCUGCACGAAUGGCGUAACGACUUCCCAACUGUCUCAACCGCGAACUCGGCGAAAUUGCAUUACGAGUAAAGAUGCUCGUUACGCGCAGCAGGACGGAAAGACCCCGUGACCUUUACUACAGCUUGGUAUUGGUGUUCGGUGUGGCUUGUGUAGGAUAGGUGGGAGACUUUGAAGCAUGGACGCCAGUUCGUGUGGAGUCAUUGUUGAAAUACACUCUGGUCACUCUGGAUAUCUAACUUCGAACCGUAAUCCGGUUCAGGGACAGUGCCUGGUGGGUAGUUUAACUGGGGCGGUUGCCUCCCAAAAAGUAACGGAGGCGCCCAAAGGUUCCCUCAACCUGGUUGGCAAUCAGGUGUCGAGUGUAAGUGCACAAGGGAGCUUGACUGUGAGACUGACAGGUCGAGCAGGGACGAAAGUCGGGACUAGUGAUCCGGCAGUGGCUUGUGGAAGCGCUGUCGCUCAACGGAUAAAAGGUACCUCGGGGAUAACAGGCUGAUCUUGCCCAAGAGUCCAUAUCGACGGCAUGGUUUGGCACCUCGAUGUCGGCUCGUCGCAUCCUGGGGCUGGAGUAGGUCCCAAGGGUUGGGCUGUUCGCCCAUUAAAGCGGUACGCGAGCUGGGUUUAGAACGUCGUGAGACAGUUCGGUCCCUAUCCGCUGCGCGCGUAGGAAGUUUGAGAGGAUCUGACCCUAGUACGAGAGGACCGGGUUGGACGAACCUCUGGUGUGUCAGUUGUUCCGCCAGGAGCACCGCUGAUUAGCUACGUUCGGGAUGGAUAACCGCUGAAAGCAUCUAAGCGGGAAGCCGGCCUCAAGAUGAGACUUCCAUACCUUCGGGUGAGAGGCUCCCAGCCAGACUACUAGGUUGAUAGGCCAGAUGUGGAAGUGCAGUAAUGCAUGCAGCUGACUGGUACUAAUAAGCCGAUGACUUGAAAAA
rnacentral:rRNA from 1 species